GAAAGUUGCGUCAAAGGUCCACGUAAACACAAACACGGCCACGUCUGUCAAGCUGUGUGGCUGUUUGUCACAUUAUUAGUACAAAUCCACUGAUAAUUUUCUCCCAGCAGCAUUCCUUUCCUUAUCACUUGCAUUCCUGUCCUCCAUUCCUCCCCCAGUCCACCUGUGCUCACGUAUAGGCCUCUUUAAAAAGGAGAUAAGAUGCGUCAGCUGAAGGGAAAGGUGAAAGAGACUGCAAAGGAGAGGAAAGAAAGGAAGAAAGACUUCUUGGCCAACAAGGAGAAGGCAUUCACUGUUGCUCUGCCAGUACUGGGUGGGAUCUUUAUUCUCAUCGCCCUCCUGGUGUACUUCAAGACUAGGCCCAAGGACUUGGAUUUGUAAGGACACUCUUGCUGCGCCAUCCUGCCACAUCUGAUAUGGAAGAACAGCAUUUAUGUGUUACAAUCUUAUGAUAUCAAAGUUAAUAAUAUUCUGCUUUGAUUUUCAUUUGACACAAUGAAAUGUUAUCUUUUUUUUUUUGUUAGUAUUGCAGAAAUCCACUACAUAUAAUCUGUAAUGAAAGUGUCAAUCUGUGUCACAUUUAUAGAAAUUGUUUACUAUGAUUCAACUUUGAUAUGGAAUAGAUUGAUAUAGAAAUGCCUUCAAUACCUAUUGGGUGCCUUUGCUCAAAUUCCUGACAAAAUGCCGUGAAAGAAAGGUAUCUUUUCUUAAAUUCUAUUAUGGUUUCAGGAAAUGUAUUAAGGCAAGAGUCUCAUCUAGUAUUAUUAGUAUCCCGAAUUCUUGGUUAAUUAAAGGGUGCAUAUUGUAAAGCAUGUGAGGAAGAAAGUGUUAAGAAAGAGUAUACUAUACGAGUAUGGUGCUGGAGUUGCUAGCUGAGUACUGUGCCUUAGUUGAUCAUGAUUAUAUUGAUUAUAGAAACUAUUUUCUAUUGGAUGUGAAUGAAAUGACUGUUCUGCAGCCUUUCUGUUAUCAUUCUUUUCAUCUGUCAGAUACUUGGCACAAAUUUACUGGAAGGAAAUAAGAACAUGACUAUCAUCGCUUUCCAUUGAUGUAAAAAAAAUAUCAAUGGAAACAAACUACUUACUAUUUCCCUGUUUGUAUAGAAAAAAAUAUUAUACUUUAUAUAUUACAAAUAGAGCAUGUUUUACUUAUCUUACAUAAAGCAAGUAAUCAUUGUAGGACAGAGAACACCUCUACUGGCAGAACUAGAACACAGAUGUUUGAGUCUUUGAAGUAACAGAAAAGCUGCUAAAUUGUCGUGCUUCAUUUAGGAGAAAUAUGUUGUUGUAAUUUAGGUUCCCAUAAAUGAAGGGGAUUCCUGAUUGUUUUUAUAUUUUGGAGGUUUAUUUGCUUGUAAACAUAAUUACGAACACACUAAUCCUGAAGAUGUACGUGGAUUUAUCGGAGAAACCCAUUGACAAAAACUGCAUGAACUAACUUGGUCCUGUUCAACAAAUUUACCUACCUACUGUUACUGUUACAAAGUCAAGUAUUCUAAAUCAUAUUAAUACAUACUUACAUACCAGGACGGCAAUUCCAUAUGGGAUGGCCACCUGUAUAAUAAGACAGAAGGUUACCAGAGUCAUAUUAAUGCAUAUCCAGAUUCUAUUUCAAGUUCACAGCCGUGGCUUAGAAUACUUGCUCCUUACUUUGUGGAGAUUCUGCAGUGACAGAGGUGUUCUAAUACAGGGCUAAGAUACAUGUGACAGUGUGCUUCUUUAGGUGCUUCUCUCAACACUGUAAUGGUUAUGCUUAAGUUGUUACCAGUAUUGUUAUUAUUGUUAGCCUGGAGGCAUUGUGGGUGUGAGGUGUUAGCAUUAGCACUACAGGAAAACCAGAUUAUCUGUGCCCCUACAACAUGUGUGAGUGUGUGUGUAGCAGGACAGUGUUAUCAGAUAGGGUGGAGGUCUGACUGAGUGAUGUCCUCUACUGCCAACCAGUGAUACUGAGUCCGUCAUUCCGUCACGCUUGGAGAAGUAGACCUUAGUGGCAAAGUUGAUUUGGUUUUCAUCAGUUGGGUGAUGGUGUAAGCUAAGCAAGGUUUGUGUGUCACCACAUCAACAGUUGCUGUUCUCAUUACUUGGGUUGUGAAAAGUUGCAAGAAUUUCAGCUUUCACCAACUGUCUAUGCAUUGAUACCCAUUUGCUGAUUUUUGGUCAGUUUGUUUGAUUUAAACCCAUUUGCUUGUUUUUGGUCAGUCUGUUUGAUUUAAAUGCUUGAAGUUUGUGUCUUUUCAAUGAUUUCACAGAUUGCAACAUUGUUGUUCUGCUGAUUUUGUCUCAGUAGGUACUGUUAAUAUUCAGGUAGUUAGCUCAGAUGAAAUUUGAAGGGGAAAUUCAAUAUUUGGAAAUAUACACAAAGGCUAGUAAUGCAUGGAAAAUAUUUUUGUAUUUUUUAGACAGUCAGUAACAAAGCUGUAUAUUCAGGGAACCUCAAUAAUCUUGUCAUUUUUUAUAAAUAUAUUUUCUCAAAGUA